rnacentral:rRNA from 1 species
GACGAACGCUGGCGGCGUGCUUAACACAUGCAAGUCGAGCGGUAAGGCCCUUUCGGGGGUACACGAGCGGCGAACGGGUGAGUAACACGUGGGUGACCUGCCCUCAGCUCUGGGAUAAGCCUGGGAAACCGGGUCUAAUACCGGAUAUGACUCCAUGACGCAUGUUGUGGGGUGGAAAGCCUUGUGCGGCUGAGGAUGGGCCCGCGGCCUAUCAGCUUGUUGGUGGGGUGAUGGCCUACCAAGGCGACGACGGGUAGCCGGCCUGAGAGGGCGACCGGCCACACUGGGACUGAGACACGGCCCAGACUCCUACGGGAGGCAGCAGUGGGGAAUCUUGCGCAAUGGGCGAAAGCCUGACGCAGCGACGCCGCGUGAGGGAUGGCGGCCUC